rnacentral:piRNA from 1 species
UCUUUUCUUUCCAGGGUGCAUCAUAUAAUGC